rnacentral:rRNA from 1 species
UACGUAGGUGACCAGCGUUGUCCGGAUUUACUGGGCGUAAAGAGCGCGCAGGCGGUCGGUCAAGUCGAGUGUGAAAGCCCCCGGCUCAACUGGGGAGGGUCACUCGAUACUGAUCGACUUGAAGGCAGGAGAGGGAAGCGGAAUUCCCGGUGUAGUGGUGAAAUGCGUAGAUAUCGGGAGGAACACCAGCGGCGAAGGCGCCGCUCUGGGCCGUAACUGACGCUGAGGAGCGAAAGCAUGGGUAGCAAACAGG